UACGUAGGGACCGAGCGUUGUCCGGAAUCAUUGGGCGUAAAGAGCGUGUAGGCGGCCUGUUAAGUCUUGCGUGAAAUCUCGGGGCUCAACCCCGAGCGGUCGUGAGAAACUGGCAGGCUAGAGUGCGGGAGAGGAGAGUGGAAUUCCUGGUGUAGCGGUGAAAUGCGCAGAUAUCAGGAAGAACACCCGUGGCGAAGGCGGCGAGCUGGUCCAUUACUGACGCUGAGGCGCGACAGCGUGGGGAGCAAACAGG
rnacentral:rRNA from 1 species